AUGAACGCUGGCGGCGUGCCUAAUACAUGCAAGUCGAGCGAACAGACGAGGAGCUUGCUCCUCUGACGUUAGCGGCGGACGGGUGAGUAACACGUGGAUAACCUACCUAUAAGACUGGGAUAACUUCGGGAAACCGGAGCUAAUACCGGAUAAUAUAUUGAACAGCAUGGUUCAAUAGUGAAAGACGGUUUUGCUGUCACUUAUAGAUGGAUCCGCGCCGCAUUAGCUAGUUGGUAAGGUAACGGCUUACCAAGGCAACGACGCGUAGCCGAUCUGAGAGGGUGAUCGGCCACACUGGAACUGAGACACGGUCCAGACUCCUACGGGAGGCAGCAGUAGGGAAUCUUCCGCAAUGGGCGAAAGCCUGACGGAGCAACGCCGCGUGAGUGAUGAAGGUCUUCGGAUCGUAAAACUCUGUUAUUAGGGAAGAACAAAUGUGUAAGUAACUAUGCACGUCUUGACGGUACCUAAUCAGAAAGCCACGGCUAACUACGUG
rnacentral:rRNA from 1 species